rnacentral:rRNA from 1 species
GUAGGUGGCAAGCGUUGUCCGGAAUUAUUGGGCGUAAAGCGCGCGCAGGCGGUUUUUAAGUCUGAUGUGAAAGCCCACGGGCUCAACCGUGGAGGGUCAUUGGAAACUGGAGAACUUGAGUACAGAAGAGGAAAGCGGAAUUCCACGUGUAGCGGUGAAAUGCGUAGAGAUGUGGAGGAACACCAGUGGCGAAGGCGGCUUUCUGGUCUGUAACUGACGCUGAGGCGCGAAAGCGUGGGGAGCAAACAGGAUUAGAUACCCUGGUAGUCCACGCCGUAAACGAUGAGUGCUAAGUGUUAGGGGGUUUCCGCCCCUUAGUGCUGCAGCUACCGCAUUAAGCACUCCGCCUGGGGAGUACGGCCGCAAAGGCUG